GACGAACGCUGGCGGCGUGCCUAAUACAUGCAAGUCGAACGGUUUAGUUCCAAGAGGCUUGCCUUUUGGAACUAGACAGUGGCGGACGGGAGAGUAACACGUAGGCAACCUACCUGUCAAACCGGGAUAACCUCGGGAAACCGAAGCUAAACCCGGAUAAGCUCCUUUUUCGCAUGAAGGGGGAGUGAAAAGGUGUGACCUGAUGACAGAUGUGCCUGCGGCGGAUUAGAUAGUAGGUAGGGUAACGGCCUCCCUAGGCGAUGACGCGUAGCCGACCGGAGGGUGCGUACGGCCACACUGGGACUGAGAUCCGGCCCAGACUGCUACGGGAGGCAGCAGUAGGGAAUCUUCGGCGCUGGGCGAAAGCCUGACCGAGCAACGCCGGGUGAGUGAGGCAGGCCUUCGGGUUGUAAAACUCUGUUGUUUGGAAAGAAGGGGAAGGGUAGGACCCUUAGGUGACGGUACCAAACGAGAAAGCCCCGGCUAACUACGUG
rnacentral:rRNA from 1 species